AGCGAACGCUGGCGGCAGGCUUAACACAUGCAAGUCGAGCGGGCACUUUCGGGUGUCAGCGGCGGACGGGUGAGUAACGCGUGGGAACGUGCCCUCUGGUUCGGAAUAACUCAGGGAAACUUGAGCUAAUACCGGAUACGCCCUUUUGGGGAAAGGCUUGCUGCCGGAGGAUCGGCCCGCGUCUGAUUAGCUAGUUGGUGAGGUAACGGCUCACCAAGGCGACGAUCAGUAGCUGGUCUGAGAGGAUGAUCAGCCACACUGGGACUGAGACACGGCCCAGACUCCUACGGGAGGCAGAAGUGGGGAAUAUUGGACAAUGGGCGCAAGCCUGAUCCAGCCAUGCCGCGUGAGUGAUGAAGGCCUUAGGGUUGUAAAGCUCUUUUAUCCGGGACGAUAAUGACGGUACCGGAGGAAUAAGCCCCGGCUAACUUCGUG
rnacentral:rRNA from 1 species